rnacentral:misc_RNA from 1 species
GCCGUCGAAGGUCAUCAAAAAAUAAUCCAUUCACAUUUCUCUCUCUCUCUUUUCCGAAUUUCCACUUCAAUAAACUAAACAGAGAUGUAGCUAGUUGGUUUUACGUGAUAACCAGUGAAAUCCUACCAAGUGAACACCGACCGAUUGGUUUAUUCAGUUUCAGGUUUCAAUCGUUAAAUCGGAUGUUUUCGCGUACGCCUCCAAAAUAUACACGGUAAUGUCCACUAAUUUCUCGUAAAAUCGCUAAAAAUAAACGUUAUACGGGUCUGAUAGUUUACUACUGAUAAUAAUAGAUCCAGCCAGACAAAAUGGCAGAUGCAGGCUUUCCAAGUCAGCACACCACAACGGUAAAAUCUUCAAGCACCACCGUCGAUACAACCAUCAGGUUUGACUCUGCGUACAUUAAAACAAUACCGGGAUAUCUUAAAAUCGCACAAAUCGCUCUGAACUUGCUUGGGUUCAUAUGUAUAGAAGCCAGCGGAACAUUUUCUUAUCAUUCCAGAGGAUCAUGGUUCAAUUUUGUGUCUAUGACUGGGUUUUGGAUCACCGGAAUCCUGCUCGCGUUCUAUUUGUUCCAUAUCGUUGAGAGAUUUUAUAAAAUACCUUGGCUCAAGUUUGAAUUUGGAUAUUGCGCUCUAUGGGUGUUCCUCUACUUAAUAGCAGCUUGUUUGGCAGUUACUUAUCAAGUAGAAGCUUAUAUUGCUGCAGGGUUCUUUGGAUUUUGUGCGAUGGUGGUUUACGGAAUCGACGCCUUUUUCAAAUUCAAAGCGGUCAAGUCUGGCCAAUUGGCCCAAGGCGAGAGGGUAAUUAACAAACAAACUACCACCACGGUCACCACCCCAUCGGCAUACCCUUAAAUUUAUCACAGAGGUUUAUUUAUUAAUUUGCACUGAAUUUAUUAAGUUUGAUCUUGUAUAUUGAGUUUCUGAGAAGCAGGAAUACUUAGCUCAAGAUCACCAGGGAUGUACUUUUAGGGUCCACAAUAUACUUAUCACAAUUUGGCUUUGGAGUUCUAUUUUUAAAAUAGAUUUAAGUUAAAUAAGCAUUUUUUUUUUGUAAAGCAACUAGUCAUAUACUGAUAAGUACUUUUAGUUUAUUUCCUGUAAGGUCAAUAUUGAAAUAUUUUUAUAUUAUGCAAAAGAAAAUAAUUUGUUAUUAUACACGUACACUUUUUAAAAAAAUAUAUAUAUAUUAUGUAGAUUUAAGGACUAAAAAAAGUUCUUUUCAUAUAUCCUUAGGUGUGACUUAUUGCAACUAUGGAACAAUACUAUAACUACUUACCUAUAUGCAAUAAAAUUUGCCUUUCACGUUAAAUAUAAUACAAUUUAAAUCGAUGUUAGAUUGUGAGUGUAAUAUAUAAAAAUAUUUAAAAGCA